rnacentral:rRNA from 1 species
UACGUAGGGUGCGAGCGUUAAUCGGAAUUACUGGGCGUAAAGCGUGCGCAGGCGGCUUGCCAAGUCAGAUGUGAAAGCCCCGGGCUCAACCCGGGAACGGCGUUUGAAACUGGCAGGCUAGAGUUUGGCAGAGGGGGGUGGAAUUCCACGUGUAGCAGUGAUAUGCGUAGAGAUGUGGAGGAACACCGAUGGCGAAGGCAGCCCCCUGGGCCAAAACUGACGCUCAGGCACGAAAGCGUGGGGAGCAAACAGG